CCUACGGGUGGCUGCAGUGGGGAAUAUUGCACAAUGGGCGCAAGCCUGAUGCAGCCAUGCCGCGUGUGUGAAGAAGGCCUUCGGGUUGUAAAGCACUUUCAGCGGGGAGGAAGGCGUCAAGGUUAAUAACCUUGGCGAUUGACGUUACCCGCAGAAGAAGCACCGGCUAACUCCGUGCCAGCAGCCGCGGUAAUACGGAGGGUGCAAGCGUUAAUCGGAAUUACUGGGCGUAAAGCGCACGCAGGCGGUCUGUCAAGUCGGAUGUGAAAUCCCCGGGCUCAACCUGGGAACUGCAUUCGAAACUGGCAGGCUAGAGUCUUGUAGAGGGGGGUAGAAUUCCAGGUGUAGCGGUGAAAUGCGUAGAGAUCUGGAGGAAUACCGGUGGCGAAGGCGGCCCCCUGGACAAAGACUGACGCUCAGGUGCGAAAGCAUGGGGAGCAAACAGGAUUAGAUACCCGAGUAGUC
rnacentral:rRNA from 1 species